CCGAGCCCGUUAGAGAGUACGGGGCGUUCGCAGCCUCCCUUAGUCCGCCAACGUGCUGCAUAUCAGACCUUUCUCGAGCAUAGGCAUAUUGAGGUGAGGGAGUACUUGCAACGAGUGAAGGCAAAUGAUGAUUACAGCCGUCAAGUGAUGGCGGCUAUGUUGGCGUCUUGGACUAACCGCACGGAGCCACCACAAGUUGGCCCCCCACCACCACCUGCGGGAGACGCCCCACACAUUCCAACGUUCGAGGAAUGGCUGGCACUAGGCGG